rnacentral:misc_RNA from 1 species
CGCACCUUGCACCCUUUGGCAUUCCGAAGGGUACAUCUGUUUGAGUGUCAUGAAUCCCUCAACCUCUUCACUUUCUUGUAAAGUGUGCGAGCGUUGGAUGUUGAGCGUUGCUGUGUCCACGCACAGCUCGCCUCAAAUGUAUUAGCAAUCUUGAUAGUGAUCGGAUUGACCCGACGUGAUAAGAUCUUCGUUGGGGAUGCUCUAGCUAGCAGCCGGCCGUUAUACAAGUCGCUUCAAACCCUUUGCGCUUCUGCGCUACCACCCUACAUUUAGACCUCAAAUCAGAUGGGACUACCCGCUGAACUUAA